AUUGAACGCUGGCGGCAGGCCUAACACAUGCAAGUCGAACGAGUGGCGGACGGGUGAGUAAUGUCUGGGAAACUGCCUGAUGGAUGGGGAUAACUACUGGAAACGGUAGCUAAAACCGCACACCAUCCGAUGUGCCAUGAUGGGAUUAGCUAGUAGGUGGGGGAACGGCUCACCUAGGCGACGAUCCCUCGCUGGUCUGUGAGGAGGACCAUCCACACUGGAACUGAGACACGGUCCAGACUCCUACGGGAGGCAGCAGUGGGGAAUAUUGCACAAUGGGCGCAAGCCUGAUGCAGCCAUGCCGCGUGUAUGAAGAAGGCCUUCGGGUUGUAAAGUACUUUCAGCGGUGAGGCGUUACCCGCAGAAGAAGCACCGGCUAACUCCGUGCCAGCAGCCGCGGUAAUAC
rnacentral:rRNA from 1 species